UGUCGUCGCGCCAUGAGGCGCGACUCCCGCCCGCCGCCUCACCCGAGGCCGCGGUCUGCACGGGGGAAGCCUUUUACUGGCGGCCGCGUGCCCGGGGGUCGGGGAGUCGCGUCCCUCGGCGGGUCUCCUUGCCGCUGCCAGCCCGCCUGCGCGGCACGUGGUGCAGUGGCAGGGCUCGUUGAGGCUACGCAUCUGCGUUUUGUUUGCUUCUGGUCGUUGUGUCCAAGUUUUGUGUUUUUUGUUAUUUUUUAAAUUAUUUUUACUGCUGUAAGAAUUAAUUUCCAUACACUUCACUUGCUUCUUAGUUGCUACUGGUGCUUCCUUGCCACAUUUGCUGGUAUUCUGUUCAGCCUUAGGCUGUGUUUUUAAGUAGUGUUUUCUGAAAUCUUCUCUGUCAUUGACCCCUGGUGUAGUUGCCCACUCACCCAGUGUAGAUAACUGAGGUUUCUUCUUGGAAAAAUGUCAUUCACACCAACACAAUUCUCUUUUCAUAGAAUCAAAACCAUGAAGUUGGAAAAGACCUCUGGGAUCACCAAGUCCAAACGUCAGCCCAUCCCCACCAUGCUCACCAGCCAUAUCCCUCAGUGCCACAUCUGCACGGUUCUUGAACAUCUCCAAGGAUUUUUCCAUACACCUUAGCUUGUGCGUGCACAGUGUGUGUGUCCUGGAGGAGCUUUCUGCAAAGCUGCAUGAAGUUCUUCCAACAAAUGUUCAGUCAGUAGUGGGCUCUGGCUCACUGAGAUUUCUCCCCUCCAGGAGCCCAACCGCAGGCAGCAGGUUGUUGAAGACCAGGUACUACCAUAGAAUCACAGAAUCACUACUGUUGGAAAAGACCUCUGGGGUCACCACGUCCAACCAACCGCCAGCUCAUCCCGCCAUGCCCACUGACCAUGUCCCUCAGUGCCACAUCCACACGGUUCUUGAACACCUCCAGGGGUGGUGACUCCACCACCUGCCUGGGCAGCCUGCUCCAAUGCAUCACCACUCUUUUGAGAAGAAAUUUUUCCUCAUAUCCAACCUGAACCUCCCCUGGCACAACUUGACACCACUCCUAUUUUUCAGAGCAAGCACAGACUGUUCAUUCUAUCCUGAAUAAUCCUGCAGCAUUUUCCCUGGGGAAAGCCUUUGUGUAGACAUACAUCCAUGAUACAUCUGCAUGACAGAAACUACUCCCACAGAAAAAUGACUUGAGUUGAUGCUGCAGUAGUGAUCAGGAAGGGCUGGGUGGUGGGUGGAACUAAACUGCAUUUUGGGAUGGCUGUGCAGCUGGAGUUCACAUCUGUAGAGCUCAGAUGCAGAGACUCUUACAUGAAAUCAGCAUGAGAGGUGAAAACAGAUGUGGGUUCCAGCACAGUUAAAUGGAGAAGUGCAGGUCCAAGGGGAGAAUGAGCUGUUUCCUGUCAGUGCCUCAUGCUCUGCACCUUAGCAGUGGGUAGAGAAGGAUUAGCAGUGUGUUGGGUUUGUAGGCAACACUUUGAGCUGUUUGACUGCCCAAAUUAUCAUAGAAUGUCAUAGAAUCAUUAAGGUUGGAAAAGACCUCCAAGAUCUUCAAAUCCAACCACCAGUCCAUCUCACCAUGCCAAAUGACCACGUCCCUCACUGCCACAUCCACACUGUUCUUAAACACCUCCAGGGACGGUGACUCCACCACCUCCCUGGGCAGCCCAUUCUAAUGCCUCACUGCUCUUUCUGAGAAGUAUUUUCUAAUAUCCAACCAGAACCUCCCCUGGCACAACUUGAAGCUGUUAUCUCUCAACAGGGGUCCCAGAAUCAGACCUCUCGUCUUCAGUGAGGUGCGGGCACUGUAAGGAACCUGAGUGGGAGCACCCAAAAGGCAGCCAGCUGGAAACCUGCAAAUGCAAGAGGCUGUUGUAGUCAGUCCUCCUUGCAGUGCUGUGAUGGACUUGGGUCUUUAGAGAGGUAUGUCCAAGUGCUUCUCCGUGAAUAAAUGCUGGUGGUUGUUUUGAAGUAAUCAAGCAGAGAGCAGCCUUUGCAAAUAAGUUCAGCAGCAGGAGAUGGAAGCUGCUGUGCCACAGCUCAUAGGCCUCUGUUCAGUGGGGUAAUAGUCAGCACAUUCACUUCAGAGACUGAUACAGGGAACGUAAAAGGCCCAUCUAUCAUGACAGCUAGGAUAUGUGCCAGCCUUGUGAGUGGGUGGAUGCGCUAACAGAAGUCACUGUCUGGGUUCAGCAGCACAUCUGAGGUAGAGAAGAGGCAGUGGGACACCCGAGAACCCAGGUUUUCGUGGUGUUGGAGAUGUCAGAACAGCUCACCCAAUGCAUGCAUGAUGCAUCAUCAUGAGUAAAGACAUUAGGUGGAAAUUCUUUACUUAGAAAGCGGUGAGGCCCUGGAAUGGGCUACCCAGAGAAGCUGUGGGUGCCCAAUCCCUGGAGGUGCUGAAGGCCAGGUUGGAUGAGGCACUGGACAGCCUAAUAUGGUGGGGGGCAGCCCUGCCCAUGGAAUGGGACUGGAACUGGCUGGGCUUUGAGAUUCCCUUCCAAACUAUGCCAUUCUAUGAUUCUACAAUUCUAUGUUCUGCCACUUCUGAGGAGUGAAGAGUGCAAGGACCAGCAGGCUGCACUGAUGGCUGGAGGAUGUGGCUGUGAUUUGGAAAGAGACCCCAACUGUAACAUUAGGAAGAGUGGUGUGGUACAGGUGUUCCUCUGCCAGCCUUCUUCCAGAGUGCACUAGGUUCAAGCAGCAGAUGUUGGUGAGGAUGGGCUACAAGAAUGAAUAUGGCCUAGUGAGGCUGAUGGCCACUUAGGAGGGGAUGCUGUCACAGUACUGAUGCAAAAGCGGAAGGUGCUUGGAUGAGGAUAUGAUCACAGCUGAAUUGCUCAAACCUGCUUCAGACUACUUUAAAAGACACUGAAGUGCUUAUCAUAGCAAUUUGGAACCAGAAUUCUUUCUAAGCUGGAAAAAAAAAACAACACCCCAAUGAAAAAAAAAAACACACAAAAUGACACCACCGACAAUAAAACAAUAACAAUGAAAAAACCCUCAGUUUUGUUUCUCCUGUUACAGGCUUUAGCUGGACAGUACUGGAGAUGUAAGCUGUUUGAGGCCAGUUCCUUCUUCUCAUCCCAUCCUGCCACUUUGCAGCAGCCUGUUCAUCUGGGGCUUGGUGCUGGAACCUCUUCUCUAGCAAGGCAAAAGGAAUGAGGUGGAGGCCUCCAGUCUGCUUUGCCAAAUAAGUGGUACAGCUACGUCACCAGCUGCACUUUGGUCUGGGCUGCAACCAGGACUGAAGGUGUGAGAUUUUCCUGUCUCAAGUCUAGCUGCCAGAGUGGUACAGUUUUAAACUCCACUUACUCCACUUACUUGUGUCUGGUCAAAGGAUACUCAGCACAAGUUUUAUUCCUUCCUUUUGGGUGGGUGGACCAACUCAGUGGCUUCUCUUGCUGUAUUUGGUUUGGCCAAAAGCUGCAGUAGUGUCUUGUGAAGCCUUCCUAAGAGACAAAUGUGUUUUGGAUUAAGG